AUGACCGGCAAGGUGAACAAGGUGGCGCGCAUCACCACCUCCCCGCGCAAGGAAACAUUUAGCCUGCAAAGAGCCAAUAGUAGAAAAUCAGCGAGCAGCUUUAGGCCCUUGGUGACUACAAAGAGGAUUGAGAUAGAAAAUAGUAGUACAAACUUGCAAAAUACUCUUUUACAGAGAUCUAGUCCUAAUAAGACUCAAGGUGGAAGGCUAAUUGUUAUUUCUCCAAAUGCGCUCAUACAAGCUGCAACAAAGAAUUUGCAAAUGUUUGAAGCAAUGGAUCCGAAGAACUAG
rnacentral:rRNA from 1 species